rnacentral:lncRNA from 1 species
GAUACUGUGGCAGCUGGAAAUGGAACUCCAGGUUCUAUUCGAAUAACUUAAAUAUUUUAUAUGAUUUUCCUGUAUAAAAUAUAGCUAUAUAGAUAGUAAAUUAUUUCAUAAAGAAAUUUUGAAGGAGGAAUUUUGGUUCUCUUAAUCAAAAUUCUGUUUAUCAGAAAGACAUGCGUUAUGGAGAAUAGUUAAAGAACAGUUCGAUCAAGUAUUGAUCGAGGUCUAUGUGCAAGGAUUAUAUGUGUUAUGUACUCUUCUGUGUAUGAGUUUUAAAGCGGUGAUUCCGGGGACGGAAUCCUUAUAAGGGAGGGUGAAUGUAAUAACCCGAGAUUUCCUAAAUAAAAUAAAUAAGAAAAUUUGCGUAUAAUUUUUUUUUUAUUUAAUGACGAGAAUAAGUGUCUAGUAAUGUGAAUGUUAAAUGCGAAUAUAUUUAUUACUUGAAAAAU